rnacentral:lncRNA from 1 species
CUAGAUGUCAAGACCUGGAGUUGUGGAUCACACAGAGAUGUCAUUAGAUCGGGGGAAAAGGCCGUAAAAGAAGAGACCCAAGCAAGCCGUGCCCCAGAUGGCUGCCUGACUAGAAUGUCAAGGAGGGGACAUCACGAGAAAAUGAGAGGAAGCUGACAAAAAUGCUGAAGCAGGGGUAUAAUGGGAAGAUUUCAACUUGAGCUUUGAUUGGAUGGCUAAAAACAAAUAAACUACAAAGAAAGAUCGAUGACAUAGUUAAUAAAGUUGACUG